rnacentral:rRNA from 1 species
UACGUAGGGGGCAAGCGUUGUCCGGAUUUAUUGGGCGUAAAGAGCGUGUAGGCGGCUAGGUAGGUCCGUUGUGAAAACUCGAGGCUCAACCUCGAGACGUCGAUGGAAACCAUCUAGCUAGAGUCCGGAAGAGGAGAGUGGAAUUCCUGGUGUAGCGGUGAAAUGCGUCAGAUAUCAGGAAGAACACCCGUGGCGAAGGCGGCUCUCUGG